AUGAAGGCCAAGUAUUCCACAGCACAGCACAGCAUGCAAGCAUAUCAUCAUGAGGGAAAAAAGAGGCAGUCAAAUUUCUUGAUUACCCAGGCAAGGCCUAAUCAUCAUCAUCAUCAUGGCAAUAGCAAUAGAAUACUAGUAGAAGGUCCCAUGGGAAGAGCAGAAUCCCAUAAACAAGAAUAUUGCAGAGUACUAGUGGUAGGAUUGACAGAUCUGAAUUCCACAGCACAGCAUGCAAGCAAGCAAGCAUAUCAUCAUGAGGGAAAAAAGAGAUUCAUGCCCGGCAGUCAAAUUUCUUGA
rnacentral:rRNA from 1 species